rnacentral:rRNA from 1 species
GGAUGGGAUCAUACCAGCACUAAAGCACCGGAUCCCAACAGAACUACGAAGUUAAGCGUGCUUG